rnacentral:rRNA from 1 species
GACGAACGCUGGCGGCGUGCUUAACACAUGCAAGUCGAACGGAAAGGCCCUGCUUUUGUGGGGUGCUCGAGUGGCGAACGGGUGAGUAACACGUGAGUAACCUGCCCUUUACUUUGGGAUAACUUCAGGAAACUGGGGCUAAUACCUGAUAGGAGCUCCUGCUGCUUGGUGGGGGUUGGAAAGUUUCGGCGGUUGGGGAUGGACUCGCGGCUUAUCAUCUUGUUGGUGGGGUAGUGGCUUACCAAGGGUUUGACGGGUAGCCGGCCUGAGAGGGUGACCGGCCACAUUGGGACUGAGAUACGGCCCAGACUCCUACGGGAGGCAGCAGUGGGGAAUAUUGCACAAUGGGCGGAAGCCUGAUGCAGCAACGCCGCGUGCGGGAUGACGGCCUUCGGGUUGUAAACAGCUUUCGCCUGUGACGAAGCGUGAGUGACGGUAAUGGGUAAAGAAGCACCGGCUAACUACGUG